rnacentral:lncRNA from 1 species
AGAAGGGCAAGAUGGAGUCUGCACAGCUGGGCCAUGACCCAGGAACACUAUGAGGAGAUGCUGGUUCUCCUGUAGCUGCUCCUCUUUAGGUGACCCUGGUGCCCGACUCCAGCCAUGCUGGCGCUACUGUGUUCCUGCCUGCUCCUGGCAGCCGGUGCCUCGGACGCCUGGACGGGCGAGGACUCGGCGGAGCCCAACUCUGACUCGGCGGAGUGGAUCCGAGACAUGUACGCCAAGGUCACGGAGAUCUGGCAGGAGGUCAUGCAGCGGCGGGAC